CAAUCGGCCCUUUUCAGGGCUACCAAAUAUUCAAACGUUGGGAUAU
rfam:Nasonia vitripennis strain AsymCX Ctg6645, whole genome shotgun sequence.